rnacentral:lncRNA from 1 species
UUAGGAUGUGUGGAGGAUAAAGGUUUCUUACCAACUCACUGAGUUGAUAAAACUGCUUUUAUUUGAUGCUGCUUAGAAAGAAACUACUAGAAAGCCUAAAAUAUGAAUAAGUUUCUGGAGAGGAGGAGAAGCAGGAGACACUGUGAACCUGAUGUCUAGCUCAAGCUCUGCCCCAGAAGCUGUGUCCCCGUAGGCAAGAGGAAGAAAGAAUGCUCCAAAGUGGAAAGCUAUAUGAUCAACAUCACCUGACA